rnacentral:rRNA from 1 species
UACGGGGGGAGCAAGCGUUGUUCGGAUUUACUGGGCGUAAAGGGCGCGUAGGCGGUCAGCACAAGUCAGUUGUGAAAUCUCCGAGCUUAACUCGGAAAGGUCAACUGAAACUGUGCGACUAGAGUGCGGAAGGGGCAACUGGAAUUCUUGGUGUAGCGGUGAAAUGCGUAGAUAUCAAGAGGAACACCUGCGGCGAAGGCGGGUUGCUGGGCCGACACUGACGCUGAAGCGCGAAAGCCAGGGGAGCGAACAGG